CCGACACACCGGGAGGGCGAAAGGUGCGAGCGGCUGACAACAGACCGACCUCCUGAAUACUGAGAACUUUGGGCUGCAUGAGGAGCGUGAAUUUGAACAGAUUGUACAUUCAGAUGUAGAAAAUGAGGAAAUAAUAUUCGGGGGGGGGGGGGUUUGGGGCCUCUGUUGAAGCGAGACGGAUCCCGGGGCCACGAACGGGUCUGGAAGGAUCCGGAGGCGAGCGCGAUGGGCCGAUGUGAAGAAGGACGGACGGCGGACAGCGGCGGCGUGCGGACGUUGUGUACCGGCGGGGGCCUUUAUUACCCCGUCUGCCUCGGAGCUCGUAUUUGCAUGUGAACGGAGGGAGAGCGCAGGCCGGGGUGGAUGCGUGCCAAAAAGCCCCGGAGGAAGAUGGGUGUGCCGGGCUAGAACAAACCGGUCCGGGCCCUGGAGGGACAGGCCUCCCGCAUCAGGACGAGCACAAAAGGCGGCCUACGGUGGCGGAGACAAGCGAAUCCGGAACUCGUGAAGAGGUAAAACAACAUCCUGAAGCAGGAGGCCGCCGAGGCGGCAGGGGUCAGGUGUCCGGGGACGGCCCGUCAAGAAAGUCCGUGAAUAAAAAAGCCUGGCAGAAGCUUUUCGACGUUCGGAUUACGUAGCUGCGGCCCACAAAAUAAAUCAUUGUGGCCACGUACAUCCAGACUGAAACGGCUGCGAAGAGACUGAAGCAACAAUAAGAAGCAGAAUAACCAAAUUAAUAUUAAUAUGCUGUAAGUCAAAGAUUUUUUUCAUUUUAGUCUUUGUCUAGAUAAUUAAUUUAUUUUCCAGAUUAG
rnacentral:lncRNA from 1 species